UACAGAGGUCUCAAGCGUUGUUCGGAUUCAUUGGGCGUAAAGGGUGCGUAGGUGGCGCCGUAAGUCGGGUGUGAAAUUUCGGAGCUUAACUCCGAAACUGCAUUUGAUACUGCGGUGCUUGAGGACUGGAGAGGAGACUGGAAUUUACGGUGUAGCAGUGAAAUGCGUAGAGAUCGUAAGGAAGACCAGUGGCGAAGGCGGGUCUCUGGACAGUUCCUGACAGCUGAGG
rnacentral:rRNA from 1 species